rnacentral:rRNA from 1 species
UACGAAGGGGGCUAGCGUUGCUCGGAAUCACUGGGCGUAAAGGGCGCGUAGGCGGGAUGGCAAGUCGGUCGUGAAAUCCCUCGGCUCAACCGAGGAACGUCGAUCGAUACUGCUGUUCUUGAGGAUUGCAGAGGAGACUGGAAUUCCCGGUGUAGCGGUGAAAUGUGUAGAGAUCGGGAGGAACACCGGUGGCGAAGGCGGGUCUCUGGGCAAUUCCUGACGCUGAGGAGCGAAAAGCGUGGGGAGCGAACAGG